rnacentral:rRNA from 1 species
CGCGAAACCUUUACACUGCACGCCAGUGCGAUAAGGGGACUCCAAGUGCGAGGGCAUAUCGUCCUCGCUUUUCACCACCGUAAGGUGGUGGUGGAAUAAGGGCUGGGCAAGACCGGUGCCAGCCGCCGCGGUAAUACCGGCAGCCCGAGUGAUGGCCGCUAUUAUUGGGCCUAAAGCGUCCGUAGCUGGCCUCGCAAGUCCAUCGGGAAAUCCGCGCGCUCAACGCGCGGGCGUCCGAUGGAAACUGCGUGGCUUGCGACCGGAAGACCUGAGGGGUACGUCUGGGGUAGGAGUGAAAUCCUGUAAUCCUGGACGGACCACCGGUGGCGAAAGCGCCUCAGGAGGACGGAUCCGACGGUGAGGGACGAAAGCUCGGGUCACGAACCGGAUUAGAUACCCGGGUAGUCCGAGCUGUAAACGAUGUCUGCUAGGUGUGCCACAGGCUACGAGCCUGUGGUGUGCCGUAGGGAAGCCGUGAAGCAGACCGCCUGGGAAGUACGUCCGCAAGGAUGAAACUUAAAGGAAUUGGCGGGGGAGCACUACAACCGGAGGAGCCUGCGGUUUAAUUGG